CAAAGAUGGAGAAAAGGUAUUUACCGAUGUUUUGUUGUGCUCGUUUACAGCGAAGGUCGCGAGUUCGUUGAUCUCAACACUGUUUUGGAAACCUUUAUACUCAGAGAAGCCACCCAAUCUAGCCAUCCUUGCUCUUCAACAAUCCAGCAGACUGGAGGUGAUGAUGAAAAUAUCUGAGAUUGAACAAAUAGAAAAAAUAAAUAAAAAAAAUGACUUAAUUAUUGAAAUCAAUAGCCACAUAUCAUAAACUAUUAUUAAAAUCGCAUUUAAAUAUUUAAAAUUCUUAAUAAAACAUGAUUUUUCAAACUAUUCCACAAAUAAAAGAAGAUUAGGUAAUGGAAAGCGGAUCUGGUGGGAUUUCUUAAAAUGAGACUCG
rnacentral:lncRNA from 1 species